CAACCCCUCAAGCCCAGCUUGGUGUUGGGGCCCUGCGGCUGCCGCAGGCCCCGAAAGGAAGUGGCGGGCCCGCAGCGACUCCGAGCGUAGUAGAAACCUAUUCUCGCUAGGGAGGCCGCGGCGGCGCCCCUGCCGUUAAACUGCUGCACACAGCACUCCAAA
rnacentral:misc_RNA from 1 species